AGAUUGUACAUUGAGAACAUCGGUGUUUGUAUCCCCCUUACUGGCCAACGAAAAGAAAACUCGUACAUUCACUGUUUGAGAUUGUCCAUUGAGAACAUCGGUGUUUGUAUCCCCCUUACUUGCCAACAAAAAGAAAACUCGUACGUUCACUGUUUGAGGGAAUGAUACGAUGAAUAUUCAAGACUAGUUGAAAAAAGAAGAAAGAAAACUGCUGCUAUCCGGAGAUUCUUUAGGACUUCAAUAAAUAAUUGUUUCCUUUUCCCCCACCCCAUGGGGGGGCGGUGCCCCUGAUUGGGUGGAGGCGCUCCUAAUGGCUUGCAUAGUGGGCGUGUUGGCCUAAAUUUUACUAUUAUCUAGUUAUUUUUUAAGCUGAUAAUCUAGUCAUUUCAGUAGAUCACUGUCCCACCUAUGUUUUGUACAAAUGCAACGGUUUGUAUAAAACUGAUCUGAGUUACUGUCUUAAUCAGUUAACUUGCAAUAGUAAGCCAUAUAUUGUGUUUUUAUGGUUAUUGAAUUUAUUAGCUUAAUCCACUCUGGGUUUAGUUACUUCUCACCCUAAUACUGUGAUGUAAAAAGUUGUUUGAAAUAUUAAUUUGGUCAGUUUUUAUGAUGUAACUUAAGUAUUUAGUUUGUCAAUUUGAUCUUUAUAGAGAAAGUGUAGAAUGAUUACUUGUAGAUUAGUGUUUCUGGUUUUUCAAAGCUCCCAUUGCAUUUUUAGUUUUGGAUCAUGGAACCUAUUAUUAAAAUCUUAAAAUCUAUUGUUAUACCUCUUUAGAUAUUUGGUACAUGUUAGCAUUUUGUAAUUCGAAAAGAUUUUGCAUAAAGGACAACUUACAAAAUGAGCAACUGUGUACGUUUUUAAUUUUUUUUUUUUGUACUUUGUAUUAAGGUUUGCUUUUAAUUUAGUUUUAUCCAAUGUUUUUCCUGUUGCUUUUUAUGACUUACAGGUGACCCUGCUCUGAAGGGUUUAGAGUGGUGGACUUGAGGAUUUGAAGUAAUUUGAAAUACUCAUUUUUCCAUAUGUUACCAAAGCAACGCUUUCCCUAUUUCAGUUUUGAAGUGUGAUAAAACAGGUUUUGAGAAAGAAUAAAUUCUUUAACCAUAGAUUCAUUAUUAAGAAAAGAUUCUUGUGUGCGCAUCAUCCUGUAAUUGCCAAUGUUUGUAAUCAAACAAAGUUGACCCCAAUUGUCAG